UACGUAGGGGGCUAGCGUUGUCCGGAAUCAUUGGGCGUAAAGCGCGCGUAGGUGGCUUCGUAAGUCCGUUGUGAAAGUCAAAGGCUCAACCUUUGAAUGCCGAUGGAUACUGCGAAGCUAGAGUACGGAAGAGGCGAGUGGAAUUCCUGGUGUAGCGGUGGAAUGCGCAGAUAUCAGGAGGAACACCAAUAGCGAAGGCAGCUCGCUGGGACGUUACUGACACUAAGGCGCGAAAGCGUGGGGAGCGAACAGG
rnacentral:rRNA from 1 species